rnacentral:rRNA from 1 species
UACGGGGGGGGUAAGCGUUGUUCGGAAUUACUGGGCGUAAAGGGCGCGUAGGCGGUUUGUACAGUCAGAUGUGAAAUUCCUGGGCUUAACCUGGGGGCUGCAUUUGAUACGUGCAGACUUGAGUGAGGAAGAGGGUUGUGGAAUUCCCAGUGUAGAGGUGAAAUUCGUAGAUAUUGGGAAGAACACCGGUGGCGAAGGCGGCAACCUGGUCCUUGACUGACGCUGAGGCGCGAAAGCGUGGGGAGCAAACAGG